rnacentral:rRNA from 1 species
UACGUAGGGGGCAAGCGUUGUCCGGAUUUAUUGGGCGUAAAGAGCUCGUAGGUGGUUCGGUAAGUCGGAUGUGAAAUCUCCAGGCUCAACCUGGAGGGGUCAUUCGAUACUGCCGUGACUAGAGUUCGGUAGGGGAGUGUGGAAUUCCUGGUGGAGCGGUGAGAUGCGCAGAUAUCAGGAGGAACACCCGUAGCGAAGGCGGCUCUCUGGACCACAACUGACGCUGAGGCGCGAAAGCUAGGGGAGCAAACAGG